rnacentral:lncRNA from 1 species
AUGGUGAUGGUCGGGUUACAGUCGAUAUCAAGUUAGUUAUGGAACCGACAUUCGGUAUAGCAUCCGAAAGAAACAAAAGGAUAUCGAUUUUACAUCGGUCAAAUUUAUUUCAUAUAAUUAAUUUAAUAAAUAACAGAAAAAAAAAUUAUAUUUAUAUUUAAGAAAAAAUGAGUAAAAAAAGUCUUUGGAAUUUUACACUCAGGUAUAUUUAUUUCAUAUAAUUGUAAUUAAGCUAUAUAUGAUUUCAAUUUAUAUGUUCUUUUAAUUUAAAAAAAAGUUAUUAAAGUAUUAAGUUAACCUUACAGUUGGCCUUUAACUUUGAUUUCUUUUAGUUUUAAGUAAUAAUUGUUUACAGUUGUAAACUAUCAUUGACAUAAAUAACAUUCGUUUUAUUUUUUUUCACCGGACGUGAACCAUUAAUUAACCACAAUACAUAACAUUCUCUCCAUUUUUUCUAUCACUUUCCUCUAUCUCUAUCUCGAUCUGUCUUUUUACCAUCAUCGUUUCAUCACCGCAUGUGUAUGUUGUCAUCUCCUUGAAGCCGCUCUACUCAGCUACAUCUCCAAAUCUGGGCCUCAUAUCCACUACGAUUUCUCUAUUAGUCACACCACCAAGCCACCACCGCACUAUAUCUGAACGAAGUUCGUCACUACGACCACCAAACAAUACCAACCACAGAUCAAUCACCAGAUCUGGAAGGAGUUUGUCAUCUCCGGUACAACCUCACUUGAAUCUGCGCUACCGAGGUUGUCCUGCUUCGUUGAUUAUGCAAGUGGUGUCGGUUUUAUUCGAAGAUGUGCGAGCUGAGGGUGGAACUUCCGGUGGUGGGAAGCCCUUUGGCCGGUGCUGGUGACAGGCCAUGGUGGUGGCGGUGGUCAAAUGUCAUGGACUGGAGGAGAGAGAUGUAAAGAGAAGAAAAAUUAAAUCUCUGUCCUGUAACAUGUUGACACGUGGGCAAAAAGCCAGCUGACACGCAGCUGGCUAGCACUGGUCAUCUAACUUCAAAAAUGUUAUAGAGUUAAUAUUUGACCAAAACAAACUGUUAAAAUAUCACACUUCUUGUUUGUCCAAGUUUAUGUAUGAUGUUUAUUAAUUAUCUAGGGCCAGAAUAUACUAUCAAGAUAUUUUUUUGAUAGUAAGGUUAGGAUGCAAUCAUAUCCAUUAGAUCUAAAAUAUAUGGCUAAGAUUAAAUAGGUGAAAUUGAACAGAAAAAGAGGCGUGUGAGUUUGUUUAAGGGUAUUCUAGUCCAUUCAAGCAAAUAGUUUCAUUCUCCUCCAAUUACCCCCCGUUUUUAAAACGUUAAUAACUUUUCUCAUACGAAACUACUUUUUUUAUUAAAACUGCACCAUAAAAUGAGCGUUUUUUAUCUUUAAAACGAUUAUAUUAUUGCUAUACUUUUGAAAAAAGAUCGAAAACCCAGAUGUGUAA